rnacentral:rRNA from 1 species
UACAGAGGGGGCAAGCGUUAUUCGGAAUUAUUGGGCGUAAAGGGCGCGUAGGCGGCUUGGCAAGUGGAUGGUGAAAUCCCUCGGCUUAACCGAGGAACUGCCGUCCAAACUGCUUCGCUUGAGACCGGGAGAGGUGAGUGGAAUUCCCAGUGUAGCGGUGAAAUGCGUAGAUAUUGGGAGGAACACCAGUGGCGAAGGCGGCUCACUGGACCGGUACUGACGCUGAAGUGCGAAAGCGUGGGGAGCAAACGGG